CCAGACAGCCAGGAUGUUGGCUUAGAAGCAGCCAUCAUUUAAAGAAAGCGUAAUAGCUCACUGGUCGAGUCGGCCUGCGCGGAAGAUGUAACGGGGCUAAACCAUGCACCGAAGCUGCGGCAGCGACACUAUGUGUUGUUGGGUAGGGGAGCGUUCUGUAAGCCUGUGAAGGUGUGUCGUGAGGCAUGCUGGAGGUAUCAGAAGUGCGAAUGCUGACAUAAGUAACGAUAAAGCGGGUGAAAAGCCCGCUCGCCGGAAGAC
rnacentral:rRNA from 2 species